UAAUAACGACUGGUCGAACCUAUUAUCUAAAAUCUAAUAAACACCUCUUCGUCUUUGACAACUUGCUUCAUAGCUUUGUAGGGUUCUUCGUGUUCUUCAGGUUCUGAUUUCAUAAACGACCAUGGAGAUUCUGGAAGGUUAUGGGAGACGACUUCUUACGAAAAAUCUCUUGAGCGAUUUGUUGUUUAUGUCCUUUGGACUGUAUUUAUUUUGUGGUAUUGGGAAUUCGAAUCGUUACGGGAUGACUGAGAUGCUUUUAGUCGUUGUCAUUAACGACCAUCUUAACUCCUAAAUCUCACUCUUACCACGAUUCAUCAUUCAAUGCACCUGCCUGCUCUUUCAGUCGGUGAUUCUCCGUGUAUAAAAAGGUUAGUCUUCAUUCCCUUAGCAUCAUCCUUUCAUCCAUUACAACUCAGACAACUUUCCUUUAGGAGAAUGUCGAACUCAUCUGUCUUCCUAGCUUACUUGAAAGCGGUCGAUGUAGCACCACCGCCAAAGUCAUCUGCUUCUUCUUAUAGCUAAGGUAACUCCGGUGAUAUGGAAAAAAAUAGCUUCCCUUCUCUUUUCAGAUUUGUUAGGAUUAAUCACAAGGUGGCGAGCUUAUGGCUUCGAACAGGUGUCACUGUCCGACUCUCCUAUGUUGAUUUGAUCUAAAAUUCAACUAUGCAACUUCCCCAGCAUCAAGUCGUCCAAUACUAUGACCAAGCUUUUUAUUGGUUCUUAUUUCUUAUUAUUUAUUCUUCAGAAAAGUCCACCCUCAGCCUAACGUUUUGUUUGCCGUGCCUAAAUUAUUAUGAUCUAAUCUAAUGAAAUGUUUCUGAUUCACAAAAAAAAAUGUAAUUGGUAGAUGGGGCCGCAUUCGCUGGAAAACAUCCACAGCUUGGUCUAAACAAACUUAUUAUACUCCAGAUGGUCCAGAGGUUUGCUAUUAGAGCCAUUACUCAUAAUUCUCUUUCUUGGAACACAAAAAAAAAACAGAAUUUUGGGAACAUAUUCUUUUGACAGUACUCACAACAUAUGAUAGUUGGUCAGAAGAGACCGGUUUUGUUUAUGUCACCGUCGCCAUACCUACGGUUUAUUGACACCCUCCCCUGUGUAUUAUUUUUCUUUUAUACAUUUUUCUCAAAAGUGUUAGAUUUUGCUGACAACUCUGAUUUAGAUUGCAGUAUAUUAUACCUUAUAUUUUUGUUAAAGUUUUGUUAACGCGCAUCCGCUUAAAUGACGAAGGGAACAUGGAGUUUCGGAAAGAGGAGGAACAAGAGUCACACUCUCUGUGUGAGAUGUGGCCGUCGCAGCUUCCACAUCCAGAAGAGCUGUUGCUCCACCUGUGCUUACCCUGCCGCUCGCAAGAGGACCUACAACUGGAGUGUGAAGGCAAUCCGUAGAAAGACUACAGGAACUGGAACGAUUAGGUAUCUUCGCAAUGUGCCUCACAGGUUCAAGACCAUAUCAGAGAAGGUACCGAAGCUAAGCCAAAGAACAAGGCAGCGGCUUCAUCAUCUUAAACUGUUGUUUUGAGUAUUUAAAGGAAGAGAGUUAACUUAGUUUUUGGCUUCUGAGUUUGUUCGCACAUGAUUACUAUUAUUGAUCAUUUCAUUAGUAAUAUCCUUCGGUUGUGUUGUUUACUUCUUUUUUAUAAAAGUUUUGAACUUGGAUGAGAUUUCUUUUACCUCUGCAAUUUACAAGUCUUUUUUCCAUUAUGUAUUCCGUCUUAGACUACGUCUUUUAUCGACUGUGUCCAAUUGUCCACCAUUGUCCAGCUGCAUGGGUUAUUGGAUUGUUUUGGCAAUUUGAAAAAAAAAACAAAAAGGAAGGGACUCUUAUCCCAGAUCCUUAUCCCAGAUCCUUAAGUGGGGUUUUUAAGAAAAUCAAGGAUUUAAUUAAAUCAAAAAUAAUUAAAAUGGGAGUAGUCGAUCCUUAAUAGGAGACUUUUGUAACCGAUUUAGAAUGGGUUUUUUAGAACACGUGUCAAUCUUUCCUAAAUCUCAAUUUUUUUUUUUCUGUUUCUCUCGUGUUCUCCGUCUUCUGUCGUCGUCUCCAUCUCCUUUGACUUCUCUCCCUGGACGAUACAAUUUUCCCUAAGUUAACAACAAAAGCACUCUCCUUUCGUUUCUUCAGCUACCAAAUCACUCUCUCCCUCUCUAAUAAGCCUUAGGUUUCAACCAAGCACCGCCGUUGUUUUAUCGGCGUCGGUCAGUCGCGCAGGAUUUAUCAAGCGGUGCGGUUUGAUUAAGCCGAGAAGAACCGCCCGGUUCGGGACGAUGGCUAUGGCGGCUGCUCCUCUCAAAAUCUGCGUCAAAGCUUCCAUCACUACACCCAACAAGCUCGGAGACUGCCCUUUUUGCCAAAGGGUGUUGUUGACUAUGGAGGAGAAGCAUGUGCCUUAUGACAUGAAAAUGGUGGAUUUGAUACAACCCAUUUCCAUUGUGGAGAGGAAAUGGUUAUGUUACAAUGUUUGCUCAAGGUGGAACUCAAGCGGCUCCUUACCUGACUAGCACCUUCUACAUCGAGCGACAAAAGACUUGGUGUUUAUCCGAGGUGAUGUUGUGUUCACAAGCAAACUCACUGACGAGGAGGCGAAAUGGAUCAUGGAGACCGCUCAGUCGUUUUACUUGAACGACACUCGGUACAAGCUGCUCGAGAGGUAAUAAAAACUUGUAUUCUUGUGUUCUUGAGCAGGGCCGUGCCUGACUAGAGGAUAAUCAAGCACCUGCUUGGGGCCAAAAAUUAGAUAAAUAGUUUUAUGGGCCAAAUUUAUUGUAAAAGUUGUCUACAGCAUAGUUGGUAACAGUCCCCAUUACUACUCUAGAGCCCCGGGUUCAAACAGAACUAUAGGAAUUUUGACAUUUUUCCAAAAAUAUUAUAUUUUAAGGGCCAAAUUUUUUUAAUGCUUUAGGGCCCAUAAUAUUCAGGCACGACCCUGUUCUUGAGACACGCUUGUAUUAGAAUUGUUUUUGUAUGGUAAUCAAAACUACAUCACACAAAUGGUUGAGAAUUCUUUCUCCAAUCCUAUCUUUAAUUUUUUUUUUUUUAAGAAACCCCUUAUUAAGAAACUCCCAUUGGAGGAAGAAAAUUAGGUGAUUCUUAACUAAAUUCCUUAACUAAAAUUUAAUACUUAAAUAAUCAUUAAGAAACCUAAUGAGUUUCUAGGGAUAAUCAUGCUCUUAUUAGCUUUUGACCAAACCAUGAAUACACGAUUAACGGUUUCCAACAAUCUUCUGAUGGUUUGAUUAAUUUUACUUCAGUUUAUUUUCUGCCAGACUGCUCAAAACUGAACACUUGUGAUGAUGAUAUAGAUUGUUUAGGUCCGUUUGAUUAGACUAGAUCUGGAUUCAGAUUUGUGUGUUUAUUCACACAUGUCUUUGUCUAAUCUUUGGAUGUAUGACAUUUUAUGUUGAGUCUUAUAUAUUGAAAUAAAUAUUAGGUAGUUAUAUACUUAUUUUUUUCUCUAUAUGUAUAUUUAACCUUUUCCAAAUCGAUGAUUGUUGUUCAAUUUUUUGACAGUAUUCAUUAGCAUUAUUGCACAAAUACAAUGGACUAAUAUUAAAAUGUCUUUUCACUCGACUCAAUAUAUCCGAAGAAUAAAAGAGUAUUCUAAGAAUAUAUUUGAACAUUAUAUUAUGAAAUAUAGUUAAUCGCGGCAUAAUAUAAGGUUGAAUAUUAUAACAUCAAACAAUUUUAACCAUAGUAAUUGAUAUACAUAAAAUAUUAAUUUCUAAAAUAAAAUUUAAAAUAUAUAGAUAAAAUGGUUGUAAAAUAAUUAUGAACAUGGUAUUUAAAAAAAAAAAUUAGAGAUUUUAAAUAAAUUUGUAUUAUUAUUUUGUUUAUUCGCCUGUCCUGCCCGCCCGUAGGGCGGGUUUACCCUAGUAUAUAUAUAUAUAUAUAUAUAAAUUGUUAAAACAACUUGUUUAAAUUCCAACAGUUGGAUCUCCCUUUUCCCACCAACUAUAGAUCAGAUCAAAUACCAACUGGUGGUGGAGUUUCCGGUGGGAGAGAAAGCUUUCCAUCUUCUUCUUCCUUUGUUUGUGUAACAAAUAUUUUGAUUUUGGUAUUGGAAUGAUUUAAAUUCAGUUCGUUUAAUCAUAAUGAAGCAAGCUUGGGCAUUAAACAAAUUAUAGGCCCAAACCUGUGGGCCAGAUUUGGAGUUAAAGAAUAUAAACCAUGGAAUAGGCCCAAAUUCUUGUGUAUAUAUAUAUAUAUAAAUUUUGAUCUAGGGUUUCCGACUUCGUCAGUUUGUUUAGGAGGCAGAGUUAGUCAUGGCUAGAGGUCUUUGCCGCAUGGUAAUGCGUUGUGAACCCAAUUCGUUUACAGAACCUCGUCCAUACCGACCUCCCGUACGCAAACACAACCUCUUCCAACAAAAGAGAUUGGCCGAACUACGUGAAGGAUCUCAAGUCUCGGUGGAGAUCCAAUCAGAUAAGAGUCUGAAGGGAACUGAACAGGAUCAGACCACUCUUGUCUCAGGAAUUGAUAUUCAGGAAAAGUCGUCGUCUGAUGUUGUUGCUAGCACCUCGAAGCCUCAGACGCCAUCACCGAGUUUGGUCGGGAUGAAGAAAACACUAGGUUCUCAAGUCUCGUUGCUACGUUGUUCUACCUGUAUGCAAAUAAUCCAGUCCGAUAAGAGUCUAAAGGGAUCUUCUGAUCAGGAUCAGACCACUCUUGUCUCCCAAAUUGAUAUACAGGAAAAGUUGUCGUCUGAUAUCGUUAGUAGCACCUCCAAGCCUCAUCAAGGUAAGCAUCUCCGAUCAAGUUCAAAGAUGCACAAGCCCAAAGCUUUUCUAAAGAAGAAGAAGAAGAAGAAGAAGAAGAAGAGCUCACGCAAAGCUGUAUCCACCACCUAAGUUACCACCACUAUCUAUUUCCUCUCUUUUUCUUUUUUUUUGUACCUUUUUAUGCUUGAUCACGACUUAAGUUAUGUUGUGCAAUCCUUGUCAUGAUAAUGUGCCCGUUGUCUUUUAUCGUUGCAAAAUAAUUGCUAGUCAUUAAUUUGAUCA